rnacentral:tRNA from 3 species
UCCGUACUGGUGUAUCGGUAACAUUUCCGCCUCUCACGAGGUAGCGCAAGGUUCGACUCCCUGGUACGGAA